rnacentral:rRNA from 1 species
AGAGUUUGAUCAUGGCUCAGGAUGAACGCUGGCGGCGUGCUUAACACAUGCAAGUCGAACGAACCUUCGGGUUAGUGGCGGACGGGUGAGUAACGCGUGAGAAUCUGCCCUCAGGAGGGGGAUAACGGUUGGAAACGACCGCUAAUACCCCAUAUGCCUACUGGUGAAAUGAAUUUCGCCUGAGGAUGAGCUCGCGUCUGAUUAGCUAGUUGGUGAGGUAAUGGCUCACCAAGGCUUCGAUCAGUAGCUGGUCUGAGAGGAUGAUCAGCCACACUGGGACUGAGACACGGCCCAGACUCCUACGGGAGGCAGCAGUGGGGAAUUUUCCGCAAUGGGCGAAAGCCUGACGGAGCAACGCCGCGUGAGGGACGAAGGCCUCUGGGCUGUAAACCUCUUUUCUCAAGGAAGAAGAUAUGACGGUACUUGAGGAAUAAGCCACGGCUAAUUCCGUGCCAGCAGCCGCGGUAAUACGGGAGUGGCAAGCGUUAUCCGGAAUUAUUGGGCGUAAAGCGUCCGCAGGCGGCUUUUCAAGUCUGCUGUUAAAGCGUGGAGCUUAACUCCAUCAUGGCAGUGGAAACUGAAAGGCUUGAGUAUGGUAGGGGCAGAGGGAAUUCCCGGUGUAGCGGUGAAAUGCGUAGAUAUCGGGAAGAACACCAGUGGCGAAGGCGCUCUGCUGGGCCAUUACUGACGCUCAUGGACGAAAGCCAGGGGAGCGAAAGGGAUUAGAUACCCCUGUAGUCCUGG